GGACAACCUUGAAAACAAAAAAUAAAUAUUGUUAGUAAAAAUUUAAAGUUAAGUUAAAUGAAUAAUAAAAAAUUAAAAUUUUAGAAAAUUUACCUCCUCGUAAAUCUUAUCCACUUCAAGUGUGGAUAAGAUGACGGGUAAUCCGUCGGUAGACUGCUGUGUCAGCUGGGUCUGGCGGUCUUCAACCCGAGCAACCACGGCGUUGUAGAUUUGCUCGGACUUGCCAUCUACAAAU
rnacentral:lncRNA from 1 species